GCAUUGGUGGGUUAGUGGUAUACUGAGUCGUUGCCAGUCACAUUGGAAUCGACUCGACCCGGGUUCGAUUCCCGGUCGAUGCA